AAUGCUGGAGCAGUGCUAACUGUAUGUCUCCUGUUUGUCCCAGUGUGGCAGGCCGAUGGAGCAGAGCUUUUGUGUUGACUGUGGUGCUGUAAUUGGAGGUGUGGACCACAAACCUCACACAGGCUUCACAGACAUCAAGCUGUGAUAAACAUCAUCAAGCCUCCAGUGAGUGACCCUAAAGGAUUCUUGCAGCAGCACAUCCAGAGAGACUUGGAGCAGUUGACAAAGACGCUGGGGAAGAGUGCUGACGAGACCACCCAUGUGGUCCACCUCAUGCUGCGCUGCCUUCUCAAAGAGCAGCACCCACUCCCUGACCAGGGGCAUUUAAAUUUUGAUGAAGAAUUGUCAACCAAAGAACAGAGAAACAAUUGGGAAAAACACAUCAAAGCUCUUCUUCUCCCUGAAUUGGAGCAUCUAGAUAAGACCCUGCUGACUGUGAGCACACUCAUUAGCCAGGAUGAGCGCAUCAGUUCCAACCCCGUGGCCAAAAUCAUAUAUGGUGACCCAGCAAGCUUCUUGCCCCAACUGCGCCAGAAAAGUGUGGUUCAUUGCUCAAAGAUUUGGAGCUGCAGGAAAAAGAUCACAGUCAAAUACCUUAAGCACAUUGUGGAACAGAAGAACGGCAAGGAGAUGGUGCCCGUGCUCUGGCAGUUCCUGCAGAAGGAGGCAGAACUAAGACUGGUGAAAUUCCUGCCUGAGAUUUUGGCCCUGCAAAGGGAUCUAGUGAAACGAUUCCAGAAUGUUCCAAAAGAUGAAUACUGUUCCAUCAAGAGUUUUAUUAGCAGUCACAGUUCAGAGGGACUGAGGCAGCUAUUCCACAACAGGAUCACCAUCUUCCUGUCCACGUGGAAUGCACUGAGGCAAUCACUGGAGACCAAUGGUGAAAUCAAGUUACCUAAAGACUACUGCAACUCUGACUUGGAUCUGGACACAGAUUUUGAAGUCAUCUUGCCCCGGCGUCGGGGCCUAGGUCUCUGCUCAACUGCAUUAGUCAGCUACUUGAUUAACCUUCACAAUGAAAUUAUCUACACAGUGGAGAAGUUCUCCAAGGAAAACAGCAGGUACUGCGUAAACCCACCACCCUGCCACCAAGCCAGGCUAUAGAC
ensembl:lincRNA